rnacentral:rRNA from 1 species
CCCUUAGAUGUUCUGGGCCGCACGCGCGCCACACUGACGGAUUCAACGAGCUUACAACCUUGGCCGAAAGGUCUGGGUAAUCUCCAAAAUCCGUCGUGAUGGGGAUAGAUUAUUGCAAUUAUUAAUCUUCAACGAGGAAUGCCUAGUAAGCGCAAGUCAUCAGCUUGCGUUGAUUACGUCCCUGCCCUUUGUACACACCGCCCGUCGCUCCUACCGAUUGAAUGGUCCGGUGAAGCGUUUGGACUAUGGUUUUCUGAUGGUCCGCCGUUGGAUUACCGUGGGAAGUUCGUUAAACCUUAUCAUUUAGAGGAAGGAGAAGUCGUAACA